AAAAAUUAUAGAACGAAUAGAAAAAAUAAAAAGGAAAUGACGAUACCCUGAGUGCUUCCGGUGAAUUCGAAUAAUCGACGGAUUGGCAUUUCCAACUAUAUUUUCGCAGCCAAGCUGCGUCCAAGCCUUCGUAGAACAGCCAGAAGCUGAGAAGUACUUGUACGGGUGAUGGUAUGAGGAACCAAUCUCUUGUUCGAGGAUCUGAAAAAUCAAAAAAUCAAAGAAUUAGAAUACAUAUAAAAUUUCGAAAGAAAAAAAAAUUGGAGAAUUAUUUCCCACCGGAUAGAUCGUAGAACACAUGAUGGUAAAAUCGAACCAUUGAGUUGUUGUAGAUAUUCGACAUCCUGUCGAUGUGAGGUGUGCUGCUGACAUUCAUUGAAAGUUUGAC